rnacentral:misc_RNA from 1 species
GUAGGUGAACCUGCGGAAGGAUCAUUAUUGAAGGGGAAGGAAACUUCCCCAAAAAGGAUGUAGGCCAGCCUGAAUUGCAGCCCGUUUGGUGCAUAGUCAAAUUGAAAGACCCCAUUUCUGUAGUGGUUUUCCCCAUUACUUGUGUCUUGGGAACAUUUUCCUGGUUAUCAAUUUUGAUGUAAUCGUCUUCUGAGGGCGCUUCUCCUGCCAGACCCGGUGGGCGUGGAAACCCAGUUGACUCCCAGACUUG